CCUACGGGAGGCUGCAGUGGGGAAUAUUGCGCAAUGGGCGAAAGCCUGACGCAGCGACGCCGCGUGAGGGAUGAAGGUCUUCGGAUCGUAAACCUCUGUCAGCAGGGAAGAACGGUCACUGUGCUAAUCAGCAGUGAAUUGACGGUACCUGCAAAGGAAGCACCGGCUAACUCCGUGCCAGCAGCCGCGGUAAUACGGAGGGUGCGAGCGGUAAUCGGAAUUACUGGGCGUAAAGCGCUCGUAGGCGGUAUGUCAAGUCAAGGGUGAAAGCCCCGCGCUCAACGUGGGAACUGCCUUUGAAUCUGGCAAACUGGAGUGUGUGAGAGGAUAGUGGAAUUCCAGGUGUAGGAGUGAAAUCCGUAGAUAUCUGGAGGAACAUCAGUGGCGAAGGCGACUAUCUGGCACAUAACUGACGCUGAGGAGCGAAAGCGUGGGUAGCAAACAGGAUUAGAUACCCGGGUAGUC
rnacentral:rRNA from 1 species